GAAAUAAUCAAUACAAUUAAACUUCUAAUUUAAUUUUAAAUAAAUAAAAUUAUUUUUAUUUCU
rnacentral:tRNA from 1 species